AACCAACAAUAUAUCUGAACAAGUCACCUGAAAAUUUCCCCAAAGAUUCUCGAGUAUUUGUGGUGGAUCCUAUGCUGGCAACAGGUGGCACGAUAGUGGCAGCUGUUGAUCUCAUUAAGGAAUGUGGGGUUGAGAACAUACAAACAAGAGUGGUAACUAGUUUAUAACGAAUCUUUCUUGCAUUUGUGAAAUUUGAUAUGCAGUUGAUAUCUUCACGAGCAACUUCAUGUGUCAAAGGCUAGUUUGGUGUAUGUUGUGCUUUAGCUGUUCUACCCCAUUGUUUUAUUACUUCUUAUGGAGGUAUUUGAAUUUUCUUUUGAAAAAAUGAAAUGAUCUAAAUUUUUACUUUGUACUUUCUUGCUUUUCAUAAGAUUAUCUUUCACCUUCAACUGUAGAAAUAAUAGGAUCAUUACUCUGCUUGAUGGUUUCUUUUUGCAUAAUUAUGAAUGUAAGAUAUAUUUUGAAUUUGUGGAACGAUUGGCAUUGGAUCUGUGAAAAAGAAUUUAUGGAAUUGAUGAGUAAGUCUCAUAUGACAAGUGAUCUGUGGAUUGAUCCAUAGCAUGAACACUGUCUGCAUCUGCCAAAAGGUCCUAAGUAGUUUUGCUGUUAAUUUGUUCACUCACGAAACAAGUUAAAAUAGAGGCCACUAGAGUUUUCAAAAUGUAACAUGCUGAAGAUGUGCUGAAAAAAAAAGUGUACAGAAAUUUUCUUGGUAUUUGUGGAAGGGGAGAGAAGCAUAAAUGAUGAGGUCUUUUGCGGCUGGAAGAGAAAGCUGGUGUUGGCUCAAUUCAAUUCAACAAUUUUUCUCUUCUGUUCUCAUUACAAUAUUCAUACUCGAAUGGGAAAAUUACUUUUGGGAUUUGCUUGGUGCAAAUAUGCUACAUUGAUGUCAAUCAAUCUAUAUUCCAUCUAUAUUUUUGAGCUUGAUGAAAUGUUUUUUAUUAGAUAUAUGUAUUUGAUAGUUGCUUAUGCAGUGUUAAUGAGCAAGUGCAAGUGGAAAGCUAUUUCUUUUCUCUAUCUUUGAAGUUUGAUUAGCAAUCUGCUGAAUGAAAGCUGCCGUGUAAGUUGUAACAGAUAUCUGCAGUGGCUGCUCCUCCAGCCUUUUCAAAAGCUCAGCAAGAAGUUUCAUGUGCUUCACGUUUACACUGGAAUAUCAUUGAUCCUACAGUCAAUCACAAAGGAUUUAUGGUUCCUGGACUUGGAGAAGUUGGAGAUCGUAGUUUUGGCACAUGAUGUCUAAAUUUUUUUAUCAUCAUUAUUAUUAUUUUGGAGGGUAGCAGAGGAAGAAUGUUGAUUGAUGUAAACCUCUACCCUAUCCAUGUAAGUAAGGAUUUGCAAUUUGGAUGUGUUGAGCUAGAGUUUUGCAAUGUUCAGAUUGUUUUUUUCAUAGAAAGUAAGCAGAAAUUAACGAAUUUUAGAUAAAAA
rnacentral:misc_RNA from 1 species